UACGUAGGGUGCAAGCGUUACUCGGAUUUAUUGGGCGUAAAGCGCAUGUAGGCGGCUUUAUAAGUCUGAUGUGAAAGCCCUGGACUCAAUCCAGGAAGUGCAUUGGAUACUGUAAGGCUAGAGUAUGAGAGAGGUUGACGGAAUUCCUGGUGUAGAGGUGAAAUUCGUAGAUAUCAGGAGGAACAACAGAAGCGAAGGCGGUUAACUGGAUCAUAACUGACGCUGAGAUGCGAAAGUGUGGGGAGCAAACAGG
rnacentral:rRNA from 1 species